UGGUCUCUAACUCCUGAGCUCAAGUGUUCUGCCCACUUCAGCCUCCCAAAGUGCUAGGGUGAAAGGCCUGAGUCACCACUGCCAGCCAAUUGCUGAAGUUUUUGGAAAAGAAAAUUCUUGUCUGAUCCAUGGGAGUUGCUUCAAAGGCCACAGGAUUCUGCUGCAAAUUCUAACAGGAGGAGGCAAUGGCAGCCCUUACUAAAACCGCAGAACUACAGGAAGAGGAUCCCUGAGUGGGAUUCCUGUGUGAAAGGCAUUUUCACCUUUUUGUGUAUCUUCAGAAUCUUAACUUUCAUGAGAGAAGAAUAGAAAUGCAACAAUGGAACAAUCCACUGUAUACACGUAGCUGACAAUUUAAUAAACUUGAAGGAAAUGCUA
rnacentral:lncRNA from 1 species